CAAACGACUCUCGGCAACGGAUAUCCCGGCUCUCGCAUCGAUGAAGAACGUAGCGAAAUGCGAUACUUGGUGUGAAUUGCAGAAUCCCGUGAACCAUCGAGUCUUUGAACGCAAGUUGCGCCCGAAGCCAUUAGGCUAAGGGCACGUCUGCCUGGGUGUCACG
rnacentral:rRNA from 3 species